UCGGGAAUUUUGCGCAAUGGGCGAAAGCCUGACGCAGCGACGCCGCGUGGAGGAUGAAGGCCCUUGGGUUGUAAACUCCUGUCAGGUGGGAAGAAAGAUCUUCGGUAAACAGCCGAGGGUUCUGACUGUACCACCGGAGGAAGCCCCGGCUAACUCUGUGCCAGCAGCCGCGGUAAUACAGAGGGGGCAAGCGUUGUUCGGAAUUAUUGGGCGUAAAGGGCGCGUAGGCGGCCAUCCAAGUCGGGUGUGAAAUCCCUCGGCUCAACCGAGGAACUGCACUCGAUACUGGUUGGCUCGAGUCCGGGAGGGGAUGGUGGAAUUCCCAGUGUAGCGGUGAAAUGCGUAGAUAUUGGGAAGAACACCGGUGGCGAAGGCGACCAUCUGGACCGGAACUGACGCUGAGGCGCGAAAGCCAGGGGAGCGAA
rnacentral:rRNA from 1 species